GGGCCCGCACAAGCGGUGGAGUAUGUGGUUUAAUUCGAUGCAACGCGAAGAACCUUACCAGGGUUUGACAUCCUGCGAAUCUCUUGGAAACGAGAGAGUGCCUUCGGGAGCGCAGUGACAGGUGGUGCAUGGCUGUCGUCAGCUCGUGUCGUGAGAUGUUGGGUUAAGUCCCGCAACGAGCGCAACCCACGUCUUUAGUUGCCAGCAUUUAGUUGGGCACUCUAGAGAGACCGCCGGUGAUAAACCGGAGGAAGGUGUGGAUGACGUCAAGUCAUCAUGCCCCUUACAUCCUGGGCUACACACGUACUACAAUGCUACGGACAAAGAGCAGCAAGUUCGCGAGGACAAGCAAAUCUCAUAAACCGUGGCUCAGUUCAGAUCGUAGGCUGCAACUCGCCUACGUGAAGGAGGAAUCGCUAG
rnacentral:rRNA from 1 species